rnacentral:lncRNA from 1 species
UCAAAAGGAAAGAUCUAGAAAGCCAAGGUUUAAAAUUGGGCUGGCACAUAAUAGGUGUUCAAGAGAUGUUGAAUAACUCCUCAACACCCUCCAAUGCAGACUCUCAGGAAGGACCACAGGAAGACACAGCAAGAAGACUGCCAUCUGCAAGCCAGGAAGAGAGCCAUCACCAGAGCCUAACCGUGCUAGUACUUUGAUCUGGAACUUCCAGCCUCCAGAACUGUGAGAAAACAAAUUUCUAUUGUUUAAGUUAUCAAGUCUAUGAUAUAAUGGCAAGCCAAGCUGACUUAAACAGUCAUUAUCUAAUUCAUCCUUUGAACUGACUCUCGUAAUAAUAAUGUGAUAAACAGACUAGCAGCUCCUGUUGAUUGCACACCUGCUAUAUAUCUGGCACUGUUUCAGAUACUUUAUGAAAUGUAAUUCUAAUUCUCAAAUCAACUAAAAGGUAGAUAUAAUCUGCGCCUGCAGAUGAACCAAGCAAGUCUCACAGAGAUGAAGUGAUGUGCUCAAGAUCACACAGCAAGCCAGAAUAAAAUCCAGACAGGUUCCAAGACCCAAGAUCUUCUCUCUUCUCCUGGACCGACAGUCAUCUAGCUCUUCCUUGAAUACCUCCAGUGAUGAUAUUUCCUUCUAAGGUAGCUUGUUCCAGGUUAAAUGUGAAACAGGUUCAAGUUGUGGUUUGUUUUUAUUUUGUGUUCAGCUGAAACCUGCCUCUGUAUUAUUUUUUCAAUUGUCCCUAGCCCACUCCUAUAGUAUUUUAUUCUUCAUAACAGGAUUUCAUCAUCUUCUUUUGGUCUACCCUCUUUUAGGGUGAACCAUAUUCAAUGAGUAAUUCAUUGUCUAUGGAUUUGUUUCCACCUGUGAAGCAAAAGGACUUUGGUCCUCAUCCUCAAAUUGCCUUCGGUUCUAUCUGGAGGUCUGCAAAAGAAUUUUUAAGUUUUUAAGCAGUAUAACCAUGGGCCUCAGCUCUACUGGUAUUCCUACUUGUCCACUUGUUUAUAUCUGUUAUCACUGCUCACCAUGAAAAGCCCAAAGUCAUUUCAAAAGUAUAUACCAGAUGCUACUGGGAUUUUUAGACCUUACAACAAACAAAUAAACAAACAAACAAACAAAUCAAGCAGUGCUACUGGCAAUACCAAGAAAAGAUGAAGAAGACAGGUUCAAAGAGAAUAAUUAAUUUCCCCAAACUCAUACAAACAUUGGCAGAGAUGAAAAUACAUUAUGUGAUUCCCAAAUCUAUGGCUUUACAUGGUACUAGAGGAUCAGUUGAAAGGCAUGGAAAUUAGAGGACUGGCCAAGUAAGGACACAGCUGAGAAAGCAGCCUGCAAGCCAUUAAAGAAGACCUCACUAGAAAACAACACUGGCACCUUAAUCUUGGACUUCCAGACUCUGCAAAGUUUGGGCAUCCUGAUGGUUAAUUUUAUACAUCAACUUGCCAGAGCCAUGCUGCCUACAUAUUUAGUCAAACGUUAUUCCAGAUACUUCCAUAAAGAUGCUUUUCUUUUUAGAUGAGAAUAGCAUUUAAAUCUGUGGAUUUUAAGUAAAGUAGAUUGUCCUCCAUCAUAAUGUGGGCUUCAUAUAAUCAGUUGAAGGCCAUAAUAGAACAAAAGCUGACCUUUCCAGAACAAGAGGGAAUUCAGCUAGCAGACUGCAUUUAGACUUCAAUUGCAACUUGUCCUCGAGCCUCCAGCGUGCUGAUCUACCCCAUUUUAUUUGGAUUCUUCAAAUCUCUGCAAUCACAUGAGCCAAUUCCUUAAUAUAAAUCUCUCUCUCUCUUUCUUUACACAUACACGCACACACACACGCACGUAUACACACACACACUGUGUUGGUUUUGUUUCUCUGGCAAAUCCUGAUCAAUGCAGGGAUAUAUAUUUAAGUGAUAUUAUUUUAAUGGCUACACGCACAUUUUUAACCUGCAGUCAC